AUUGAACGCUGGCGGCAUGCCUUACACAUGCAAGUCGGACGGCAGCACGGGGCAACCUGGUGGCGAGUGGCGAACGGGUGAGUAAUGCAUCGGAACGUGCCAUUGAGUGGGGGAUAACGUAGCGAAAGUUGCGCUAAUACCGCAUAUUCUGUGAGCAGGAAAGCAGGGGGACCGCAAGGCCUUGCGCUCUUUGAGCGGCCGAUGUCAGAUUAGCUAGUUGGUGAGGUAACGGCUUACCAAGGCGACGAUCUGUAGCGGGUCUGAGAGGAUGAUCCGCCACACUGGAACUGAGACACGGUCCAGACUCCUACGGGAGGCAGCAGUGGGGAAUUUUGGACAAUGGGCGCAAGCCUGAUCCAGCCAUGCCGCGUGAGUGAAGAAGGCC
rnacentral:rRNA from 1 species